rnacentral:tRNA from 1 species
GCAUUGGUGGUUCAGUGGUAGAAUUCGUGUCUAUCAUGUGGGAGAUCUAGGUUCAAUUCCCAACCAAUGCG